rnacentral:rRNA from 1 species
GCCUAACACAUGCAAGUCGAACGGACGAUGAAGAGCUUGCUUUUCAAAGUUAGUGGCGGACGGGUGAGUAACGCGUGGGUAACCUGCCUCAUACAGGGGAAUAGCAGCUGGAAACGGCUGAUAAAACCGCAUAAGCGCACAGUGCCGCAUGGCACAGUGUGAAAAACUCCGGUGGUAUGAGAUGGACCCGCGUCUGAUUAGCUUGUUGGCGGGGUAACGGCCCACCAAGGCGACGAUCAGUAGCCGGCCUGAGAGGGUGAUCGGCCACAUUGGGACUGAGACACGGCCCAAACUCCUACGGGAGGCAGCAGUGGGGAAUAUUGCACAAUGGGGGAAACCCUGAUGCAGCGACGCCGCGUGAAGGAAGAAGUAUCUCGGUAUGUAAACUUCUAUCAGCAGGGAAGAUAAUGACGGUACCUGAUUAAGAAGCCCCGGCUAACUACGUGCCAGCAGCCGCGGUAAUACGUAGGGGGCAAGCGUUAUCCGGAUUUACUGGGUGUAAAGGGAGCGUAGGCGGCGGAGCAAGUCAGAAGUGAAAGCCCGGGGCUCAACCCCGGGACGGCUUUUGAAACUGCCCUGCUUGAUUUCAGGAGAGGUAAGCGGAAUUCCUAGUGUAGCGGUGAAAUGCGUAGAUAUUAGGAGGAACACCAGUGGCGAAGGCGGCUUACUGGACUGACAAUGACGCUGA